ACCAACAGCCAUACCACCCUGAAAAUGCCCUAUUUCGUCUAAUCUCAAAAGUUAAGCAGGGUUGGGCUCAGGUCUUAUCUAGGGUUAAACAACGAUAUAGGAGGACCACCAUGAGAUUUUCACCAAGGCUGGAC
rnacentral:rRNA from 14 species